CUCAAGCAACGAAGGUUUAUAAAACAGAUUCACCUAAGAGUUGAAACUUGUUUUCGAUUUAUGUAGGGAAAUACGAGGAUUACGUUGUACACAAAAGUCCCAUUGAGACGAAUUAGCCCAUAUUGUAGGACUUGAAUCGUUGAUCGAAGAUGCAGAGUCGUACGUCAUGGCGAAACUUUAAUCGGGGAAUAACUUCAUCGACUGUCACUCGCGGUGUCACGUAUAGAUCCGUCUAACAUUUUACUUGUAAGGGUUCAGCCCAGCUGCAACGUUGGUACGUUAACGAUAUGUGAAACGAAUCUUGUGAAUGAUGUGUUUAUGUGAAGCCAAUACGGUCCGCUUGACGAGCAGCACGUACGUACAAACGUUUCUCUAUGAAAAGGCUAGUCAGCCGAAAACGAAAAUUCUAACGAUAACCAAAAAUAACACAAAUCUUAAUUAGGCUAACAUGAAAUAGAUGGCUCUCACAAGAAAUCGAAGAAGAGAUAUUGUGUAAUGCUUCUAGCCGUUUCUACCGCCUAGUUAUCAUGACAAAAGCCUACUAUAACGUGCUGCUGGUGACAAGUAUGCGUUCAGAUAGGGCAGGUGCCGGCUGAGCGUAGGCCCGCUAUGACUGACCGAACGACAUGGUCUAUAUGACGGAUGUUUUCCGCAGGCGGAAACAGGGCUCGACCGCCUGUUCAGUAUGUUAGUGAAGAUAUUAUUUCUCAAAGAUAUUAUAUCACACAUGUUUGUUUCGCAUCACACAUAAAGUCUACGGGACAAUGCGCUAUCCUUGGUCCACUGACGGGAAUAAGUUAUGACACAUUGAAUAACGUUUGAAGAGAGCCCUUGGAGCGUCAAUACAUCCGAUAAAGCCCGGACAACAGUACGCCGUUGGCGAUGGACUAAUUAUAUAUAUUUGGAGCACUCUAAGAUUAUUGAAGCUUGCAUAUUGCUAUAAUGAUAGAGUUAUACUAAAACCGUG